rnacentral:rRNA from 1 species
AUUGAACGCUGGCGGCAUGCCUUACACGUGCAAGUCGAACGGUAACAGGUCUUCGGAUGCUGACGAGUGGCGAACGGGUGAGUAAUACAUCGGAACGUGCUUAGUAGUGGGGGAUAACUACUCGAAAGAGUGGCUAAUACCGCAUGAGAUCUACGGAUGAAAGCAGGGGAUCGCAAGACCUUGUGCUACUAGAGCGGCCGAUGGCAGAUUAGGUAGUUGGUGGGAUAAAAGCUUACCAAGCCGACGAUCUGUAGCUGGUCUGAGAGGACGAUCAGCCACACUGGGACUGAGACACGGCCCAGACUCCUACGGGAGGCAGCAGUGGGGAAUUUUGGACAAUGGGCGCAAGCCUGAUCCAGCAAUGCCGCGUGCAGGAUGAAGGCCUUCGGGUUGUAAACUGCUUUUGUACGGAACGAAAAGCCCUGGGUUAAUACCCUGGGGUCAUGACGGUACCGCAAGAAUAAGCACCGGCUAACUACGUGCCAGCCGCCGCGGUAAGAC